ensembl:misc_RNA 7SK 7SK RNA
UGCUGUGAGGAUGAUCUGACUGUAGCAUCUGUCACCCCACUGAUUUCAGAUGUCCCCUUCCUCCCUUCAUCAAGGCGUUUCUUCGAGAGUCACGUGCUCUGUGGAAGAGGACAAUCAUUCCCGGUAGAAAAGGACCUUCCUCUGUCAAGGGUGUGAGCAUAGCUGCUCUCCCCUGCUAGAAUCUUCACACAAGCUCUCAGUUUUUAUAUGUUCAAUGUUGGAUUUGUGUUCUUUACGUAUGAAGGAACUCUAAUUUGGAUUUCCUU